AGGAAAUUAAUUGGAAUAGAAAUUGUCUUUGAAAUGCCUCGUCAGUUUCCUCCGUCUCGCUCUCCCGUCUCUCCCUCUGCCAUGGCGAGAAACAGAAGCUUGAAAGAGAGAAAUGGCGUCGUGCCAAUGGACGUUACUGACCGGACCAUCUCAGACCUCCUCAAGCUAUGUACUCGUCCGAGUCUCUGCCGUCUGUCUCAGCCCCAGGUGCAUCCAGUACUAGAAAGAUGAAGAAGGGACCAAGCGAAGAGAUAAAAAAGUGUCUGAAAGACGGAAGUUAUGGCAAAAGCUAUAUCUAGAUAUGAGAAGUUUCUGGAGAAAAUUUUGAAGAAUGACAGCCAAAAGUUAACUCAAUCUGCCAAAAUGCUUUAGGAUUGAGCUUCUUACCCUUUAGUGUCCUUCGCGAAGACUACAGAAGAGUGGCUUAAUUGAAAGAGUUGGUUGCCUGCUGUGGCCAGAACAAUUCCAUCUGUUCGGGCACCUGAGAUGGUCUGCUGUGGCUGAAACAAUUCAGGGAAAUAUAAUGAAGUUCCCACUAGAUUGCUCAAGAGAACUUCCGCAUCUAAGGAUCUUCAAUGAGAUCAUGACUUGUCGUCAGGAACAAAAAAUGGAAAUCAAGAAAGACCAGGUGAUAAAGCUCUGAGUUAGAAGGAAGCUGGUACCCUGAUAGACAGGGUGAGUGUUUUGAUCUAGGGAUGUGUGAUUCCCCUAGCGUUUUGGUUGAUUUUCGGGGAUGAGUUAGAUAUGUAUAUAUAUGUUUAUGAAUGUUUAGUACUCUAGUUAUUUGUAUUCUGGAUGGUGUUUAUAUACGGUUUUCUGUUGUUAGGUAUGUAUUUAUAUGAUGGACUGAUUACCCAGUACCCUCUUUGGGUCGGGUUAUGUGUAACGGUAUCAGAGUUUCUGA